CCUACGGGAGGCAGCAGUGGGGAAUAUUGGGCAAUGGGCGCAAGCCUGACCCAGCAACGCCGCGUGAAGGAAGAAGGCUUUAGGGUUGUAAACUUCUUUUGACAGGGAAGAGUAGAAGACGGUACCUGUCGAAUAAGCCACGGCUAACUACGUGCCAGCAGCCGCGGUAAUCCGUAGGUGGCAAGCGUUGUCCGGAUUUCCUGGGUGUAAAGGGCGUGUAGCCGGGUUGACAAGUCAGAUGUGAAAUCCUGGGGCUUAACCGCAGAACUGCAUUUGACACUGUUGAUCUUGAGUACGGGAGAGGCAGACGGAAUGCCUAGUGUAGCGGUGAAAUGCGUAGAUAUUAGGAGGAACACCAGUGGCGAAGGCGGUCUGCUGGACAGCAACUGACGGUGAGGCGCGAAAGCGUGGGGAGCAAACAGGAUUAGAUACCCCGGUAGUC
rnacentral:rRNA from 1 species